UACGUAGGGACCGAGCGUUGUCCGGAAUCAUUGGGCGUAAAGAGCGUGUAGGCGGCCACUUAAGUCCUGCGUGAAAUCCUGCGGCUCAACCGCAAGCGGUCGUGGGAAACUGGGUGGCUAGAGUGCGGGAGAGGAGAGUGGAAUUCCUGGUGUAGCGGUGGAAUGCGCAGAUAUCAGGAAGAACACCCGUGGCGAAGGCGGCUCUCUGGAACGCAACUGACGCUGAGACGCGAAAGCGUGGGGAGCAAACAGG
rnacentral:rRNA from 1 species